rnacentral:rRNA from 1 species
GAAACUGCCUCCAAUACUGUUGGGCUAGAGAGUAGUGCGGGUAGGCGGAAUGUAUGGUGUAGCGGUGAAAUGCUUAGAGAUCAUACAGAACACCGAUUGCGAAGGCAGCUUACCAAACUAUAUCUGACGUUGAGGCACGAAAGCGUGGGGAGCAAACAGGAUUAGAUACCCUGGUAGUCCACGCAGUAAACGAUGAUAACUCGUUGUCGGCGAUACACAGUCGGUGACUAAGCGAAAGCGAUAAGUUAUCCACCUGGGGAGUACGUUCGCAAGAAUGAAACUCAAAGGAAUUGACGGGGGCCCGCACAAGCGGAGGAACAUGUGGUUUAAUUCGAUGAUACGCGAGGAACCUUACCCGGGCUUGAAAGUUAGCGACAGACAUUGAAAGAUGUUUUCCCUACGGGGCGCGAAACUAGGUGCUGCAUGGUUGUCGUCAGCUCGUGCCGUGAGGUGUCGGGUUAAGUCCCAUAACGAGCGCAACCCCUACCGUUAGUUGCCAUCAGGUCGAGCUGGGCACUCUGGCGGGACUGCCGGUGUAAGCCGAGAGGAAGGUGGGGAUGACGUCAAAUCAGCACGGCCCUUACGUCCGGGGCUACACACGUGUUACAAUGGUAGGUACAGAGGGCAGCUACCCUGCGAAGGGAUGCGAAUCUCGAAAGCCUAUCUCAGUUCGGAUUGGAGGCUGAAACCCGCCUCCAUGAAGUUGGAUUCGCUAGUAAUCGCGCAUCAGCCAUGGCGCGGUGAAUACGUUCCCGGGCCUUGUACACACCGCCCGUCAAGCCAUGGGAGCUGGGGGUGCCUGAAGUUCGUGACCGCGAGGAGCGACCUAGGGCAAAACCGGUGACUGGGGCCAAGUCGUAACAAAGGUAGCCGUAAGCC